GACGAACGCUGGCGGCGUGCCUACUACAUGCAAGUAGCACGCAGUUGCGAACGGGUGAGUAACGCGUAGGUAACUGCCUGGUAGCGGGGGAUAACUAUUGGAAACGAUAGCUAAUACAGCAUACUACCAGAUGGACCUGAGUUGUAUUAGCUAGUUGGUGAGGUAACGGCUCAACAAGGAAACGAUACAUAGCCGACCUGACAGGGUGUUCGGCAACACUGGGACUGAGACACGGCCCAGACUCCUAAUGUAGGCAGCAGUAGGGAAUCUUCGGCAAUGGUGGGAACCCUGACCGAGCAACGCCGCGUGAGUGAAGAAGGUUUUCGGAUCGUAAAGCUCUGUUGUUAAGGAAGCGGUACUUAACCAGAAAGGGACUGCUAACUACGUGCCAGCAGCCGCGGUAAUUC
rnacentral:rRNA from 1 species